AAACAAAUCAAAAAUCAAAAAAGAAGAAAAGAAAUAUUUUUCAGGAAUUUCCAUCUUUUUAUUCUGUUCCUUUUGAGAUGUUGAGUCCUUCUUUGCUUGGACUUUUU
rnacentral:ribozyme from 13 species